UCUAAAGCCGGUUGAAUGUCAGGAACAGGAAUAAAUUUCAAUUUAAAAACACCACACGGAUUUGCUGCUGAACAGCCCAACCCUGAGCCCCCGAUGCACCAAAGACUGCAGGGUCACCGUAUGAGAGUCCAUCACAUCACAUCAGACCCCUUUGCUGAUGCGACAAAGGGCGACGACUUACUCCCAGCGGGGACUGAGGAUUACAUUCAUAUAAGGAUCCAGCAACGAAACGGGAGAAAGACACUAACAACUGUUCAGGGAAUUGCAGAUGAUUAUGACAAGAAGAAACUUGUGAAAGCUUUCAAAAAGAAAUUUGCUUGUAAUGGUACUGUGAUUGAACAUCCCGAAUACGGGGAAGUUAUCCAGCUUCAAGGUGACCAGAGAAAGAACAUUUGCCAAUUCCUCUUGGAGAUUGGCAUUGUCAAGGAAGAACAACUGAAAGUUCAUGGUUUCUAAAAUACCUGUACUCUUGUGAAGAACCCUGCAGUAUUUGGUCUUACCUACCCUGGCUCUUCUGUGAAAAAUGAAUCUUUGCAGUGAAUGGACUUCCCUGUUACCUGAACAUUUAAAAUUUGAUUCAGAUUUGCAUGACUGCGUGCACCACGUGGUGUGUAGACUAGAAACACAUAAGAGAACUUCAGUAAGGUGACAAUUCCAGCUGUAAGAAUCCAGUGUCCGGUCUCCCAGUCUCCACAAACGCUGCCUGCUGUUACAGAUCUUAGCUGGUCCAGAAAAAGGAUGUUCCGGAAGAUUGUAUACGGUUAAGGUAUAAUGUGUUGAGGAGGUGGGAAAGCCUGCUGCAAAACAGGAAAUACCAGCACGCAGAAGGGAAAUCCAAAAAAUAAGUCAUGUGUAAGUCUUGCACAUUAGCAGAAUAAAAUUGCACUGCAAGUUUACCUAGUCUUGAUUCAUAGAUGCUAAAAUAAUUAAUCAUUUGGGGGUACGUAGCACUUAAUGAUUUUCAUUUUAUUAAAUGCCAGAAAAACCUGAUGUUCUCAUUUAAAGUUUGUUCUCCUGCUCAAGAGGAAAAACUGGUAUUACAUGAGUUCUUCUAGUGAGGGUUUGAAUUGGAGAUUAAAAAACAAUUAGCAAGUCUCA